UUGCUUUCUCUUUUCUUUGUUAACAUGCGGUACUGUCAAGCUAUUCAAUUAUUGCAUUGACUUCAUGAUAUUUGAUCCGAGAGGAGAUUGCUUUGCUACUACUCCAAGUUAAUGCAUUGAUUAGUCGUUCUACCCACAAGGUGUUUGUAUAAUUGUAUGACUCAAGCUGUAGGAUUAUUGCAUGGGGAUUUUAUUACGAGAUCAAUGAAGCGAUUUGUUAUUCUGGUUGUGCUUAUCUCAUAGAGUUGUGAUUUUGUCCAUUUUAUUCAAAGCAAUCACAUUUGAGACAAACAAUGGUAGUUGCUCUCUCUAAUAGGAAGUGAAACCAUCAUUUGCAAAAUAAAGCCAAUGGUCUGUUCCAGUUUUUAGUUAUAAUAAACAACAAUUGAAUCUUUGUAUUGAAGAUAGGUGGUGGCAAUGCUU
rnacentral:lncRNA from 1 species